UCCAUCAACAUGCUGCCACUUCAUCUUGUUUAGGCUCUUCGACUGCUUUAUAGAAGGACACUGAAGUCCACAUCUAUCUCCUUGAGACAGGCAAAGAAACAAAUCCUUUAUCCUGUCUCAAAAAGAGCUGACAAGCUUUUAGUAGUGUUUAUCUUCACUGAAGGGUGAUAACCUUGAAAAUGAAAGUGAAAAGAGACUGAUACAAUUAGAUAAAGAAACCAGGACUCAAAGAUGAAGUAACUUGUUCAAAGUCUGGCAGCUACUAAGUGACAGAGCUGAAAUUCAAGCCACCAACUACAAGGUUCAUAUUCUGUUCACUUCAUCAGGCUGUUUACUGUAGGCAAAAAUACUAUUUUACAGCCAUAAUUAAACAACUUUCUAGCAAACGGCAUUUCUAUCAUUCUAGCACCACUAGCAUUAUCGCCUCUUCUCCCAUUGACAUAUUUUUUUAAGGCACUAACCUGGAAUUUCUUCUUCCAGUACAGAUGGACUAAGGGGGCGCAAACCCCCCUGGGUGAAACAACAAAAAGAAAAACAGAUAAAAUAUAUUAAACAACAGCUCUCAAGAUACUAGCAUCAGGCAACAAACCAAAGUGAUCCCUGUGAGAUAGUAAACAAAUGAGGUGAACCCUAUGACAGGUGCAACUUACUGCUUUGCAGAGUUUCCAGGCCAUGACACUAAGAGGAGAUAUCCAAGCAGAGCCCAGUGAAUGACCCAGAUUGAGGAGACAGAGCUGAAAGUCCAAGAAGACCCAAGGCAGCUGGAAUUUGCAAGACCGAGUACCAGAGAAAAGAGGGCUGAGCAGAGAUAGAAUUCCAGAGAUUUGUAAAGGGUCUCCCUUAAGUAUUU
ensembl:lncRNA LINC01825 long intergenic non-protein coding RNA 1825